rnacentral:lncRNA from 1 species
CUCUGCCAAAUCCUCACUAGUAGGCAGAGCAUAGCAUUGUCUUAUCCAUUUAUUAUUAUUAUUAAAAAUAAAAUUAAAAAAAAAAAUUAAAAACUAUUGAAACUACAUAGGAAAUCCAAAAUUGGAGUUAAAAUCUGUGAUGAAAAAAGAGUAUGGUAAAUGCAACAGACUGUGACUGUACAUUGGGGGAUAUAAAACACCCACACUGCAGCUAUAAAUCUAAGGAGAGUAAGUGACCUAAUGAGUGCAAAUUUGUGCCUAAUCUAUCCCCUUGUGCUGCUUGCAGGACCCUGUACUAUUUAAGCUAUAUCAGUAGCUAGCUCUUCCCUGUUUUCUGGAUGAGCCACUGAGGCACAUCCACACCUUCACAGAAGUAUUUUAAACAAUGACAAUUCAGAAGAUCUGUUUCUCACCAGCCAUAUGUUCCUCUCUUGCCUCCAGCCCUGCUCCUUUGCUCCUAAGCUGGAGCUAUAAACAGAUGGGAUUUAAAUCUCUCUAAGUUUUUAUUUCCACCUACGCGCUUUGCCUGACAAAGCUAUGAGGGAAUUUUCUCAUUGGCACCCUGAAAUGUACUUCUUUUGUGAUUAAACCAAAACCAUAGCUAUGAGGCUCUGACGUUUUAAGAUCUAGUAUCAGAUCAUUUUCAUUAUGUUUUUUUUUUUCAUAGCGAAUGUUGGACCUGGGUUCUCACUAUGCACUUGUCUGAAUCAGGAGUUUGUCUGACAUCUCUGUCACUGCACUCCAUCUGGGGACCUGAGGACUCAGGGAGAUCAAGCACCUAAGGGAGAAAAUGAGUAAUUUGGAAGAGGAGAUGGGUGGGAUAUCAUCGUUUUUUUUUUCUGAUACACGACUUCCCUGGUUAUGUGAUGAUCAGCAUCUCACAUUUUUUAUGACCUUGCAAUACACUCAAAGUACAUAUGAAGUUCAAUAUUAAAUUCAGCCCUCUCAUGUAAAUCUCUGAACUGGACAAAUUACAAGUGAAGGAAGUAAAAGUCUCCUAGCAAUCCACUGUGAAAAAGAACGAUGAUUGCAGCUGAGAUUCCUCCUCUAUGAGAAAACCAUCCCUUGGCCGACAGCACGGCUGUGUCCUGAAACAUCAAGCAUGGUCUUUAUGUAAAUCUCAGUGUUCUUCUGCUUGUUCUGCUGCAAAAGCCUUUUUUGCUGUGACAUAGAAGGAAAUCCAGUGAGACAAGGUAAUAGACAUGGAAGGCUGCUAAUGGAAAGAUUAGGUCUCCAGGCUGUCAGACUUGACUUUCUUAAGCACAUGUUUAUGCUUUAAGUUCAUACAGCGCUCUUAUGCACGAGAAUUUAUAUGUGCAUAUC